rnacentral:rRNA from 1 species
AUUGAACGCUGGCGGCAGGCCUAACACAUGCAAGUCGAACGAGUGGCGGACGGGUGAGUAAUGUCUGUGAAACUGCCCGAUGGAGGGGGAUAACUACUGGAAACGGUAGCUAAUACCGCAUACCCUCGGAUGUGCCCAGAUGGGAUUAGCUAGUAGGUGGGGUAACGGCUCACCUAGGCGACGAUCCCUAGCUGGUCUGAGAGGAGGAGCAGCCUCACUGGAACUGAGACAUGGUCCAGACUCCUACGGGAGGCAGCAGUGGGGAAUAUUGGACAAUGGGCGCAAGCCGGAUGCAGCCAUGCCGCGUGUAUGAUGAAGGCCUUCGGGUUGUAAAGUACUUUCAGCGAGGAGGCGUUACUCGCAGAAGAAGCACCGGCUAACUCCGUGCCAGCAGCCGCGGUAAUUC